rnacentral:rRNA from 1 species
AUUUUUAAUGGCCGCGGUAUUUUGACCGUGCAAAGGUAGCAUAAUCAUUAGUUUAUUAAUUGUGGACUUGUAUGAAUGGUUUAACGAGAUAUCAGCUGUCUCAUUUAUAUUUUUAGAAUUUAAAUUUUAAGUUAAAAUGCUUAAAUUUAUUUAUAGGACGAGAAGACCCUAUAGAUCUUUAUUAUUAUAUUUAUUGAUAUUUUUUUGUUUAUUUGUUUUUGAUUUGUAUAAUUUUUUUGUUGGGGUGACAUUGAGAUAUAAUUAACUCUUUAUUUUUUAUUCAUUUAUUUUUGUUUAUUUGACCUUUUAUUAUUUUUAUAAGAUAUAGAUACCUUAGGGAUAACAGCGUAAUACUUUUUGAGAGUUCAUAUCGAUAAAGGAGAUUGCGACCUCGAUGUUGGAUUAAGAAUAUUUUUAGGUGUAGAUGCUUAAUAAAUAAGUCUGUUCGACUUUUAAAUUCUUACAUGAUCUGAGU